ensembl:snoRNA SNORA62 Small nucleolar RNA SNORA62/SNORA6 family
CCGGCACACAGCUGGAGCUCUGCGCUGAGACCUUGGUCGAUGAACGCGGAGCGUAGUCUGUGUGCAACAGCAAUCUGCAGGGUUUUCGCUGACACCAGUAGGGCUCUUGUGCCCCCUGACUGGCCGUUGGUAGUAGGCCCUGCUACAAUU